rnacentral:lncRNA from 1 species
UCGAGGGUGCGGGGGUGGGUUGGGGUUGGAAAGGGAGGUUAGGCUGGUAGGUAUGAAGGGUGUGCUAGGCGACGAGGUGGGGUGAGGGGGCUAUGGGGUCGUGUGGCUUACGAAAGACAAGAAAGAAGGAGGGGGCGGUGUGGUUGGUUGUGCGACUGGGUAGGAAGGUGAAAAAAAGGGAAAGGAGAGAGGAAAUCGGGCUACGGUGGCCGGAAGUGUAGAAGGUACGGGUGCAGCAACAUUUAGUGUUGUUGGGGAAAUUAGAGUAGGAGACAAAGUAGAACUUAGGGUUCGGGAUGAAAAAAAG